rnacentral:rRNA from 1 species
UACGGGGGGGGCAAGCGUUGUUCGGAAUUACUGGGCGUAAAGGGCUCGUAGGCGGCCAACUAAGUCCGACGUGAAAUCCCCAGGCUUAACCGGGGAACUGCGUCUGAUACUGGAUGGCUUGAGUUUGGGAGAGGGAUGCGGAAUUCCAGGUGUAGCGGUGAAAUGCGUAGAUAUCUGGAGGAACACCGGUGGCGAAGGCGGCAUCCUGGACCAACACUGACGCUGAGGAGCGAAAGCCAGGGGAGCAAACGGG